ACGGGACUGAACACAGAGAGCAAGAUGGAAGCUAAUGAAUCUGAAGCUGCAGCGGCCCACGGGGGCCAGGCCUGGAAGGGCCCUGGGAGACCAGCGUGAAGAUGAGGAGUUUCUCUAACUGGAAGACUCAAAACCAUCUGUGAAAUAAAACUAAGAUGGCCAGUGGGAAAGCAAUAAUUACGAAAGCAGGAACUAUUGCAAAGAAUCAACAACUGGGAUCUCAUCCUACUGAAAAACUUUUGCACAAGAGAAACCACCAACAGAGUGAAGAAACAACCACAACAUGAAACAAAAUGUUUGCCAGCUGUUCCUCAGACAAAGGAUUACUAUCAAGAACAUAUAAAGAACUAAAAAAAAUCAGAUCUCCCAAAUUUAAAGAUCCAAUUCAAAAGUGAGCAUUUGAGAUGAAUACAUACUUCUCAAUUGAAGAAAUACAAACAGGAAAUAAAUACAUGAAAAAAUAUUCAGCCUCAAUGGUCAUUCGAGAGAUGCAAAUUAAAACAACACUGAGAUUUCACUUCACCUCAGAAAGAAUGGCUAGUAUCAAGAAAUCAACCAAUAACAAAUGCUGGAGGGACUGUGGGGAAAAAGGAAUCCUUCUCAGCUGUUGUUGGGAAUGCAGGCUGGUGCAACCACUGUGGAAAUCAGUGUGGAGAUUCCUCAAAACACUAGGAUUGGAGGUCCCAUUUGAUACUUCUGAGUAUCUUCCCAAAAGAAUUUAAAACAUCAUACCACAGUAAUAUAUGUACACCCAUGUUUAUAGCAGCACAGUUUAUAAUAGCCAGAUCUUGGAAGCAACCUAAAUGCCCAUCCACUGAGGAAUAAAAAAGAUGUGGUAUUUUUAUAUAACAGAGUACUACUCAGCCUUAAAGAAUGAUUAACUGGACACUUUUUUUUUUUUUUUCAUUUUUAUCGGUACCAGGGAUUGAACUCACGACUGCCUGCUUGCAAGGCAGGUGCUUAUGCCGCUGAGCUAAAUCCCCAGCCCCUAAACUGGACACUUUAUAGGUAAAUGGAUGCACCUUGAGCACAUACUCAUUAGGGAAAUAAAUAAGACACAGUAAACAUUGUAUUGUUUCAUUAGUGUGACAAAAUCAAAGAAAAAUAUGUAUAUGUGUAUGUACAUGUACAUAAAAAUAGUUAAAAUAGUUAUACUACUUCUUUCUCUGAGUUCACUAAAGAGAAAGAUUUGUGCUGGUAUUGUUUGGACAUUUGAAGGCAGACGUCUUGUGCUCUGUGUGGAUGAUGUGGAGACGACAAUGUAUUUACCAUUGUUAUCCAACUGAUGUACUUUAAAAGUUUGUUAUAGUUUUUUUCUUCUUCUUCUUUUCUUUGCUUUGAUGUUUGAAUAAAAUAG